rfam:Otolemur garnettii contig092522, whole genome shotgun sequence.
GUCUACGGCCAUACUACCCUGAAUGCACCUGUGAAUGCACUCAAUCUGGUCUGAUCUCAGAAGCUAAGCAGGGCCUGGCCUGGUUAGUGCUUGGAUGGGAGACCACCUGGGAAUACCUGGUGCUGUAAGAG